rnacentral:tRNA from 1 species
CAAUUUAUAGUAUAUAAGUACACUAAACUUAGAAUUUAGAGGAAAAGAAUUGA